rnacentral:rRNA from 1 species
GACGAACGCUGGCGGCGUGCUUAACACAUGCAAGUCGAACGGGCCUGUCUUCUUUUUUGGGGGGUGGGUUGAGUGGCGAACGGGUGAGUAUCACGUGAGUAACCUGCCCUUCGGUCCUGGAUAACCGCUUGAAAGGGCGGCUAAUACGGGGUGGUCCGGUUGGUCCGCAUGGGCUGGUCGGGAUAGAUUCACUGUUUUUGGUGUUUCGGCGGGGGAUGGGCUCGCGGCCUAUCAGCUUGUUGGUGGGGUGAUGGCCUACCAAGGCGGGGACGGGUAGCCGGCUUGAGAGGGUGGGCGGCCACACUGGGACUGAGAUACGGCCCAGACUCCUGCGGGAGGCAGCAGUGGGGGGUAUUGCACAAUGGGCGGAAGCCUGAUGCAGCGACGUCGCGUGAGGGAUGGAGGCCUUCGGGUUGUGAACCUCUGUUUCCGGUGGUGAAGGCCCUGUCCGUGUGGUGGGGUUGACGGUAGCCGGGGAUGAAGCGCCGGCUAACUACGUG